UUCUUAUCUAGAGAGGUGGAGGGACUGGCCCGAAGAAACCUCGGCAGCGGACUUAUUAAAAGUACUGUGCCAAUUCCAGAAAGCUUUUGGCUUGAAGAUAAGAA
rnacentral:ncRNA from 2 species